UAAGUCCCAUAACGAGCGCAACCCCUAUCUUUAGUUACCAGCAUGUAAUGGUGGAGAAUCUAAAGAGACUGCCUACGUAACCGGAGAUGAAGUGUGUAGCUGAGCGUCAAAUCAUGCACGGCCCUUAAAUCCAGGGCUACACCACAUGUUACAAUGGUCCGCACAAAGGGCAGUUACCUAGCGAUAGGAUGCUAAUCUCUAAAACCGGUCUCAGUUCGGAUCAGACUCUGCAACUCGACUCCGUGAAGCUGGAUUCGGUAGUAAUCGCAUAUCAGCCAUGAUGCGGUGAAUACGUUCCCGGGCCUUCUACACACCGCCCGUCAAACCAUGGAAGUUGGGGGUACCUGAAGUCUGUUACCGCAAGG
rnacentral:rRNA from 1 species